AGUGAACGCUGGCGGUAGGCCUAACACAUGCAAGUCGAACGGCAGCACAGUAAGAGCUUGCUCUUACGGGUGGCGAGUGGCGGACGGGUGAGGAAUACAUCGGAAUCUACUUUUUCGUGGGGGAUAACGUAGGGAAACUUACGCUAAUACCGCAUACGACCUACGGGUGAAAGCAGGGGAUCUUCGGACCUUGCGCGAUUGAAUGAGCCGAUGUCGGAUUAGCUAGUUGGCGGGGUAAAGGCCCACCAAGGCGACGAUCCGUAGCUGGUCUGAGAGGAUGCUCGGCCACACUGGAACAGAGACACGGCCCAGACCCCCAGGGGGGCAGGCAGUGGGGAUUUGUGAACAAGGGGCGCAGGCCGGACCCAGCCAUACCGGGGGGGGAAAGAAGGCUUUCGGGUUGUAAGCCCUUUUUGUGGGGAAAAAAAAGGAGCAGUUUAAUCCCCCCUUUUUCUGAGGGUACCAAAAAAAAAAGCCCCGGCUAACUUCGUG
rnacentral:rRNA from 1 species